AGUAAAUUGGUUAAGUUAGAAAGGGCGCACGGUGGAUGCCUUGGCACUAGGAGCCGAAGAAGGACGGGACUAACACCGAUAUGCUUUGGGGAGCUGUACGUAAGCGUUGAUCCAGAGAUUUCCGAAUGGGGGAACCCACUAUCUUUAGUCGGAUAGUAUCCUUACGUGAAUACAUAGCGUGAGGAAGGCAGACCCAGGGAACUGAAACAUCUAAGUACCUGGAGGAAGAGAAAGAAAAAUCGAUUUCCUGAGUAGCGGCGAGCGAAACGGAAAGAGCCCAAACCAAGAAGCUUGCUUCUUGGGGUUGUAGGACACUCUAUACGGAGUUACAAAAGAAAGUUAUAAAUGAAGCGGUCUGGAAAGGCCCGCCAAAGACGGUAACAGCCCGGUAGUUGAAAUAGCUUUCCCUCCAGAGUGGAUCCUGAG
rnacentral:rRNA from 1 species